GCUCAAUAGCUGAGUUGGUCAAAUCGCUCGCCUAGCAUGCAAGAGUCGUGGGUUCAAAUCUCACAUGAGCA
rnacentral:tRNA from 1 species